GGAAGUAAAAGUCGUAACAAGGUUUCCGUAGGUGAACCUGCGGAAGGAUCAUUACUGAUUUGGCAAACCGAGCGCGUUUAGCUAGGUUUUGCGAUCAAAAACUUUAUAUUUAAAACCCCACUCUUUUAAAAUGUAUACUUUUUUUAUUUUGAAUGAUAAAAUUAAAAGAUCACUUUCAACAACGGAUCUCUUGGUUCUCGCAUCGAUGAAGAACGUAGCGAAGUGCGAUAAGUAGUGUGAAUUGCAGAAUUCCGUGAAUCAUCGAAUCUUUGAACGCAAAUUGCACUUUCUGGUAUUCCGGAGAGUAUGCCUGUUUGAGGGUCAAUUAAAAAAAUCGGGCGUUUUUGCUGUCCGGAGUUGGGUCGUCAUAACCUUUCGGUUAAGUAACCUAAAAUUUUGUAUGAUUUUACGAACGUAUUUAAAAUAUUUAUGUACGUUUUGCAAUAUCAGUUUUAUUAGAUGUGGUCAUUUUUAUGGUUCGCGUCUAUAAUUUCUCAUCUAUUGACCUCAAAUCAGGUAAGAAUACCCGCUGAACUUAAGCAUAUCAAUAAGCGGAGGA
rnacentral:rRNA from 1 species